ensembl:lncRNA
GUACACAUAUAGAUCUCAUUGUGCCGAACAACUUUCGUAUUGCAUGUCAUAGGCUCCGCCCAACAGGAAGUCAGCUAUUUAGAGCUAUGUAAAAAGCGCAUGCUCUGGAAUUUGAUAUACUUGUCAUAGGUUUUUUACCCGAUUGCCACCAAACUUGGUCAACAUGAUCUCAAGACAUUGGGGAUGCAAAAUUGCCAGGGGAUUUUUGAUAUCUCGAACGGUUUGCUUGUGGCGAGGCGUUGAAAUUAUGGCGAGAAAUGAGAAACAGGAAGUGUCUAAUAACAUCCACAUACAUUUCCUGAUUUUAAUUAAACUUCAUCAAUUUGUUCGUUGUAUGAUGCCGAUCGCAUAUAUGUGACUAUUAGGAGUCCAAAUUAUAGCGCCACCAACUGGCAGCAGGAAGUGUGUCAUUUUCAAAAUGCUUUGAAUUCAGC